UACGAAGGGAGCUAGCGUUAUUCGGAAUUACUGGGCGUAAAGCGCACGUAGGCGGCUUUGUAAGUAAGAGGUGAAAGCCCAGAGCUCAACUCUGGAAUUGCCUUUUAGACUGCAUCGCUUGAAUCAUGGAGAGGUCAGUGGAAUUCCGAGUGUAGAGGUGAAAUUCGUAGAUAUUCGGAAGAACACCAGUGGCGAAGGCGGCUGACUGGACAUGUAUUGACGCUGAGGUGCGAAAGCGUGGGGAGCAAACAGG
rnacentral:rRNA from 1 species